rnacentral:lncRNA from 1 species
AAGUUUUCUAAGGUAGGAGUCUUCACCUCUCUGAAUUUAAAUUCUACUAACAUAUUAUUUUAUUCUUUUAUUACGUUACAGGUGUAAGCGUUAGUUUACGCUUUAAACACCUCAAGCUUUUAUUACGUUACAGGUGUGAGCGUUAGUUUACGCUUUAAACACCUAAAGCCCACGUCCUUUAGUGGACGUGGCAAGAGCAAGGAAACACAAAGCUUUUAAACGAAAAGCUUUGAAAAGUAGCGAUGGUCCCUAAACACCAUCAUGUUCAAACGAAUCAUCAUGUAUUAAAAGUUUAUUUAUUUAUUAUUAUUAUUUUGAAAGUUUAGGAUUGUUACAAUGCUGUUUGGUGAUCGAGAAGGCCGUAUGGAUUAAUAAAUUUCUUAAUCGACUUGACUUUCACCUCGUGCGUUG